GGGAGUGUGAAUGUGCGGUAGCAGGGCGUGGAACUUACACACACAAACGAGUUUCGCUAUUUGCUACUCCGUCAUUCACCAACUCUCAGUGGACAGAAUCAAAGGACAACACAGAUAAACCCAUUAAACAACUUUCUUGAGGAAAACAAUAUAAUGGAAUCUGCUGGGAGAAAAGGAGAAACAGUCUUUGGAUAAAUAGCACUAAACUUGAACCACAGUACUCAUAUCUUAAGAAAGAAGCCACUGUGACUAUAGAACAAAUCACAUCUCAGAGAAAGAUUAUGGAAAAGGAUCUUAAAGAAAUGGAGGAAAUUGCUCUGAAAACUAAACUUCCGACCUCAGACAAGACAAAUGCUUCUAUUGACAGCACCUGCAUUGAAGUGGGUCAGGCUUCUUCCACCAGAGACAAGGACCACAGGAUACUAGCUAUCGCCAGUAUCAUUUGUGGAUUGUCCUGCAUUGGCAUCGUGGCGCUGAUCAACUCUGUCAAGGCUGAGACAACAAGAACUGCUGAGGGAAACACAGACAGAGCUCGGCACUAUUCCUAUCGGGCAAAGAAGCUUGCGGUCAUUUCUAUUGUGUUGUGGCUUCUUGUUCUGAGUCUCACACCACCACUUCUGGCACUUGUGUCAUAUUUGUUGACUCUAAUAGACUGAGCGUAUCUUGACAUACGAAAACAAGCUGAAACAAUGCAUUUGUUUCGGUUAAAUUGUUACCAACUUUAUUACAUAAUUUAUUACAUAAUGUAACUAAAUGUGCUUUAUUUUUGAUAAUUGCAUUGCAUGUUGUUUAAGAAAAGGUAAAGAACUACUGUAACAGAAAUGUCUACUUACAAAGAUUUUUGUAGAAAGCUCUGUGUCGGGGUCAUUAAUAUACACACAUUCAUUCUUUUGUUCUUUCUCUGGUUGCAACAAGAAAUACAACCAAUGUGUACCACAUCAUGAAUUAUCAU